GUUGAGACACCAGUUCCCGGAUGAUCACUGAAGUGAAGCAACAUCAAGCCUGGUCAGUAGUUAGAUGGGUGACCGCUUCGGAAUAACAGGUGCUGUAAG